rnacentral:rRNA from 1 species
GACGUAGGGGGCGAGCGUUGUCCGGAUUCAUUGGGCGUAAAGCGCGCGUAGGCGGUUCGGAAAGUCGGAUGUGAAAACCCGGAGCUCAACUCCGGGCCUGCAUCCGAUACUCCCGGACUAGAGGUAGGUAGGGGAGAUCGGAAUUCCUGGUGUAGCGGUGAAAUGCGUAGAUAUCGAGAGGAACACCUGCGGCGAAGGCGGGUUGCUGGGCUGACACGUGACGUGAGGCGCGAAAGCCAGGGGAGCGAACGGG